rnacentral:lncRNA from 1 species
GUGAAGUCACCAAAAUGGUGAGUGUUAGACCAAUGUUAGGACUUAAAUCAUUAGUUGUACCGUGAGAAAGAUAGUGGAUCAUUGCUUUAGGCAAGACCCUGCAGACGCAGAUUGAGGUCGAAUUGCAUAAACGAUCUCGAUGUUCAUCUUUACAUUUUCACCCUUUUUGUGGGGUGUGCCUUGUAUUUUUGGUCGAAUAGACGACGACAUCACAAC